ACCAGUUACAGACCAGUUACAACAACCUGACUAAAGAAAGAGACCAACUACAGACUGAGAGAGAUUUUCUUAGCGGGAGGCUUACCAAUUGCAAACAAAGCUGUCCUGAAGGCUGGCAGAAAUUUGAAUCCAGUUGGUACUUCCUCUCUGAGAUGACUGAGAAAACCUGGGAGAAGAGCAGAAAGGACUGUCUGGAGAGAGGAGCAGACCUGGUGAUCAUAAACAGCAAUAAGGAACAGGAGUUUCUCUUCAACCUCAAGAAGGCAGUCUGGAUUGGUCUGACUGACUCUGUUAAGGAGGGGACCUGGAAAUGGUAGGACGGCACCCCACUGACCACAGGGUACUGGUAUGACAAACAGCCUGAUAAUGCAGGUCCUACUCAGAACGAGGACUGUGCUGAGAUACGUAAUGACCAGCUUCCUCUAAAGGCAUGGAACGACUUGUCAUGUGACAGCAAACUCAACUGGAUUUGUGAGAAAGCGUUGUAACAUCCCCAUGACAACAUACUGCAACACAUACAGUAGAAAACAGUGCACACAAUUUCCUCCUCCAUUCUCUCUCUCUCUCUCUCUCUCUCUCUCUCUCUCCUCUCAAACCCUCACCCACUCAUAUAUGCAUGCAAACAUGUUUGUAGUAUCAUACUAAUAA